rnacentral:pre_miRNA from 1 species
GAGACACCCUUAUGGAGCAGGACUGCUUCAGUGGGGCGUGCUCACUGAGUCUGCCCCUUGAGUGUGUCGCU